AGAGAUGCCAGAUGCUUGAUAGAUCCUGUAGUUCAACUUGAUUCCUAGAGAGAAGCUGUUCAUAUGAUACCAGAAAAAUGAAAUUUCAGGAAACUAGACUGGAGUCUCACUUCUUUCCCAGCCCGGAACUCUUGGGAGCUGUAAUCCUGGAUAUACAGUAGAUAAUAAUGGUGUUUUUGUUUUAUGCAUGAAGGUGGAUGAUUCUUCAAAUUAAAGGUGGACACUGACUUUUCUCACCAGAAAUGGUUUAUAAGAAUCAACUUGCAAAAAUUU